rnacentral:rRNA from 1 species
UUCGUCCAAGUGAAGCAGAGGACAGUGGCGGACGGGUGAGUAACGCGUGAGGAACCUGCCUUUCAGAGGGGGACAACAGUUGGAAACGACUGCUAAUACCGCAUAACAUUGCCGAACGGCAUCGUUUGGCAAUCAAAGGAGCAAUCCGCUGAAAGAUGGCCUCGCGUCUGAUUAGCUAGUUGGUGAGGUAACGGCCCACCAAGUCAACGAUCAGUAGCCGGACUGAGAGGUUGACCGGCCACAUUGGGACUGAGAUACGGCCCAAACUCC